GACGAACGCUGGCGGCGUGCCUAAUACAUGCAAGUUGAGCGAUGAAGAUUGGUGCUUGCACCAAUUUGAAGAGCAGCGAACGGGUGAGUAACGCGUGGGGAAUCUGCCUUUGAGCGGGGGAUAACAUUUGGAAACGAACGCUAAUACCGCAUAACAACUUUAAACAUAAGUUUUAAGUUUGAAAGAUGCAAUUGCAUCACUCAAAGAUGAUCCCGCGUUGUAUUAGCUAGUUGGUGAGGUAAAGGCUCACCAAGGCGAUGAUACAUAGCCGACCUGAGAGGGUGAUCGGCCACAUUGGGACUGAGACACGGCCCAAACUCCUACGGGAGGCAGCAGUAGGGAAUCUUCGGCAAUGGACGAAAGUCUGACCGAGCAACGCCGCGUGAGUGAAGAAGGUUUUCGGAUCGUAAAACUCUGUUGGUAGAGAAGAACGUUGGUGAGAGUGGAAAGCUCAUCAAGUGACGGUAACUACCCAGAAAGGGACGGCUAACUACGUG
rnacentral:rRNA from 1 species